CGCGUAGGCGGCCGUUUAAGUCAGAUGUGAAAGCCCGGGGCUCAACCCCGGAAGUGCAUUUGAUACUAUUCGGCUUGAGUAUGGGAGAGGGAAGUGGAAUUCCUGGUGUAGAGGUGAAAUUCGUAGAUAUCAGGAGGAACACCGGUGGCGAAGGCGACUUCCUGGACCAAUACUGACGCUGAGGCGCGAAGGCGUGGGUAGCAAACA
rnacentral:rRNA from 1 species